GAUGAACGCUGGCGGCGUGCUUAAUACAUGCAAGUCGAACGGACAGGCUCCUGCUUGCCGGGGUACUCGAGUGGCGAACGGGUGAGUAUCACGUGGGUGAUCUGCACUGCAAUUCGGGAUAAGCCUGGGAAACUGGGUCUAAUACAGGAUAGGAUGAUGGUUUGGAUGCGAUUGUGGAAUGAUUUUCGGUGUGGGAUGAGCUUGUGGGCUAUCCGCUUGUUGGUGAGGUAAUGGCCUACGAAGUCGUAGACGGGUAGCCGGCAUGAGAGCGUGUGCGGCCACAAUGGGACUGCGAGACGGCGCAGACGCCAACGUGAGGCAGCAGUGGAGAGUAUGGCGCAAUGGGGGCAAGUCUGUUGCGACGACCCCGGGAGGGUGAUGACGUCCUUCUGGGGAUAAACACCUGUCGCAGGAGACGAGGCGGAAUUGACGGUACCUGGUGAGAAAGCACCGGCUAACUACGUG
rnacentral:rRNA from 1 species